rnacentral:rRNA from 1 species
UACAGACGGCGCAAGCGUUAUCCGGAAUGAUUGGGCGUAAAGCGUCUGUAGGUGGUUCUCGAAGUCUACUGUCAAAUCCCAGGGCUCAACCCUGGACAGGCGGUGGAAACUACCAAGCUGGAGUACGGUAGGGGUAGAGGGAAUUUCCAGUGGAGCGGUGAAAUGCGUAGAUAUUGGAAAGACCACCGAUGGCGAAGGCACUCUACUGGGCCACUACUGACACUGAGAGUCGAAAGCUAGGGGAGCGAAUGGG